CUUCCUCAAUAUUUGUUUAAAGGAAAAGAGGUCAAUUUCGCUACCGGAAAUUUAACGAAACUUAAAAGACGCUACAACUCAACUUUAAUCUAUUGCGAGGUUUUUGGUGUUCUAAGUAGGCGAGCGACUUUAAACAUAUGCUUUCCAGCAAGUACUAGUCGACACUACACGUUUUCCAGAUUAGAUAAGUUUAACAAUGGGAUAGCCCACAAUACCCAGGAAUGUUAAGUAAAACGUCUGUUGAGAGUGUAGAAAUCCAUCUUGUUUUAAACACUUUCAAGGAACUUAACUCGGACCGAAAAAAGAUCCGUCUCCAUCUAUAUCUGGUGGCAGUCUUUCCACUUAUACCUGUGAAUUAAGAUGUUGUUGGUUGUUCAUUAAAUCUGCAUUGGGAGUCUAUUUCGGAAUGCGAAAAGAUUCUUUUUAUGCAGUUUCGGAUCUAAAAUGGAAAAUAUAGAUAAAACAAGGAUGCGCUAAAGAUCGUUACACUAUUACCUUAUUAUGAUGCAACACUCGAAUGCGCUUUUGGAUCGCAUUCCGCCAUGCAACAUAGUGGGUUAUCUCUUUAAUGGAUGCCGGAAAGUAAACAAAAAAAAAAGAAUCGAAGGAAGAGAGAGGUAUGAAUAAUAGAAGUGCUUUCUCAAACAGUUGUUUUGCAAAAGAAAGAAAGAAAAUCUCUGUUUUUUUUUUUGUGGGGAGUGGAAAGUAAAAGGUUAUCCUGUUUAUCAUUUUGCUAAUUUUUGUUUUGCGUUUCAUUUUGUUUAUCGUUUUGAUUAUUUAUUCAUUAUAUUUUUAUUUUUAUUUUUUCUUUCCGUCUAUUUUGAUAUUAAUGGCUAAUAACCCUUGUUUAUCCUUAUUUUCUUUACUUUUCCCGUUAAUAUAGAUUCUUUUUUCUCUCUAGACAAAAUAACACACCCGUCUUAUAAGGGCUACAUAUUCAAGUUUGUGUUUUCAGCAUGCGAGCUGGGAUGCGAAUCGGUUUUAAUUGUAACAUGAC